AAAUUUUCGGACGAUACGCAGUAAGUGAUUUUGGGGGUUUUAUGGGUCAGUUGCACGCAAUACAAGCUUUACAUUCAUGGCAUUGAUGCAUAUUGCAGAGUAGUGAUUAAUGAAGAAUAGAAACAGACCAGUGAUGACAGGCAGCAGUCAUGUCCUGUCUUUGUACAGACAGCUUCUAAGGAAAGGCCAAGGUCUCAAACUGACAAACAAGGAGUACUUCUUUAACAGAGUGCAGACAGAGUUCAGGAACAAUAAACGCCUUCACAAAGCAGCAGACAUCAAAACUGCUAUAGAGAAAGCAGAGACGUUUUUGAAGAAUGACAGACUAGUAUGAACAUUAUGGAAUAUGCUACAAAUCUUGAACUGACAACAGAAAAAAUACUAUAAACUUGCGGCUGCUUUUUAAAAAAAAAGAUGGCGAAUUUGAAUGAAGAGCUUGCGGACAGCAUUUUAAUGAUAAAUGCUGUGCAAGCAAAUGAUGGAAUUGUACUCAGACAGCUACUUGAAAAGAAACAAACACAAGCAAACCUGGACACAAGCUUGUGUUGGGCGUCACGGCUUGGUCACUAUUGCCUUGUCGUAAUGCUCAUCGAUUAUGGAGCCAGCCCUGGAUCAGAAGUCUGGGGUGGAUUUACACCAUUGCUAUGGGCAACCAUUUUUGCAGGUGAUUUGAAUGUGAUCCACUAUUUGAUAAAAUGUGGUGGAAAUGUGAACCACUGUUCCAACAAGCGAAAACAAACGCCGCUCCAUGCAGCUGUUAUUAAGGGGGACCACCUUGUCGCGCAGGCCCUGAUAGAUGCUGGCGCAAAUCUAGACCACCAGGAUUAUCUUAACAAGACUCCUUUGCUCCAUGCUGUACAAAGAAAUCUUCAGGAAUGUGUUAAAACAUUGAUUUUGAACAACUGUAAUGUAAACCUGCCAGGAUUUGUAAAUGGAUCUCGAUUAUCUCCCUUGUUAGUGGCUCUUUUACAAAAUAACUUGGAGAUUACUAAAAUGCUUAUUCUAGCUGGAGCAAGAUUUGAACAAAUGGCUAUAUACCAGACAUACACGUUAAGGCAGUUUUACAGGACUGUCGAGGAUAAUUUGAAUUUUGAGAUUAGACCUGUGUAUUUGAAACAGCAAUGUCGAGUAAGCAUUCGAGAGUUUUUGAAGCCCCAGUUUUUAGAAAAGCUUCGAAAAAUUGACUUGCCUCCUGCCCUACGAGCUUUUAUUAGUAUGGAAGAACUGAAUAGAAUGUUUUAGAUAUUUGUUUUAGAUAUUUGCUUUUUUAAUAGUUUUUAAAGCUGCACUCUCACAGAUUGAACGUUUUGACAACUUUUAUAUAUUUUGUCUUGGAAUGAGCCAAUAUAUGCGAAAAUACAUAAAUGGAAACCAGUGACAUAAGACUGCUGACAAAAAAUCAGUUCGCAGAUUUUCAUAUUUAAGUUAAAUAAAUGAUGUUUUAUGCAUACCGGUAUUUCUUACAUAUAUAAACUGUAGUAACCCUUUUAGCCAAAAAAUAUUCAUUUUUAAAAGGAAAUUUAUAUGAAAAUCUGCAACCUGAUCUGUUGUCAGCAGUGUUAUAUCACUAGUUUGCAGAUAAUUAUAAUUUAUGCUAAAAUUGGCUCAUUCCAAGGCAAAAAAUAAAAAAAGUUGUCAAAAUGGUAAAUCUGUGAGGGUGCAGCUUAAAAGGGACUCACUCAUGUAUUUUGACCAAAAAUAUUUCUUCAGCAUUUAAGAACGCAUGAGUGAGUCAGUUUAAUACAUUCAUGCGCCAUUGUUAUCUUGUUAUCGACUAUUUGUUUUAACCCAUAAUUAUAUAUUGUAAUGUUAUUAUAUAUAUAUUUUUUUGUUUUUGAGAAAUGUUUUUAAUGACUUUUCAAGUUUGUUUUUUACUUUAACAUACAUUAUAUACCUUUGUAAUUAUACACCUUUGUAAUUUUGGUAUGCAGAGAUGAAUGUGUGUAUUGAGGUUUUUUAAUAUUUUAAUGAUAUGAACAUUCCUGUAUAAUUAACAUUCUUUUAUCAUAUUGCUAAGCUUGUUUUUCGUGUAAUUUAACUUGAAAUUGAAAUCAUCUCACUCUCUGUAAGUUACAUGUUUUAAGCACCAAACGUUUACCACAAAAUAUAUGAAGUCUUCAUACUUGGCUACAAAUGUGAAGAAUUUUUCUUCUUUAUGAGUUACAAUGUACCACAAAAUCUGAUAAAUCUCUUUUAACCAUGGUCCACUGGAAAGUAUAGAAUAAUUAGUAUAUAUACAUGUUUGAGUAUAAAAAAGAAAUAUCAUUAGUCGCCAUAUAUCUGAUCAAUUAAAAUGGAAAGGAACUUCAGGUUCCUUUCUUUUGUUUGAUAAAUCAAUGAGAUUUCAAAAUAUAAAAAUACUAAAUGAUGUUAAAUACUAAAUGAUGUUAAAUACUAAAUGAUGUUUUAAUUACAAUGAUAAAGUUAUUCCUUUGUCCUACAUACAUGUAUUAUUCCCAGAGCACAUGCCCAUAACUUAUAAUAAGGUGAAAACUGUUAAGAAAGAACACAUUUUGCUGUUGAGUUUUGAUUUUGUAAUUUGUUUGAUAAAGUUUUCCAAAAUAAAUACGUUGAACUU